rnacentral:rRNA from 1 species
UCGGGAAUCUUGCACAAUGGGCGAAAGCCUGAUGCAGCAACGCCGUGUGAGCGAGGAAGGCCUUAGGGUCGUAAAGCUCUGUUGUUGGGGACGAAGGGCGAAGGGUUAAUAGCCCCUAGCCUGACGGUACCCUUCGAGGAAGCCCCGGCUAACUACGUGCCAGCAGCCGCGGUAAUACGUAGGGGGCGAGCGUUGUCCGGUAUUAUUGGGCGUAAAGAGCGUGUAGGCGGCCUGGUAAGUCUGUCGUGAAAUCCUGGGGCUCAACCCUGGGCGAGCGGUGGAUACUGGUAGGCAAGAAGAUGGUAGAGGCGUGGCGAUUACCGGGAGUAGCGGCGAAAUGCAAAGAUCUCUAGAGGACUACCAGUAGCGAAGGUGGCUCGGUGUGGCAUUCCUAACGUUGAGACGCGAAAGCGAGGGUCGCAAACAGUAUUAGCUGCCGCCGUAGUUC